ACAGACCAUCCCCAACAGAACACAGACCAACCCCAACAGAACACAGACCAUCCCCAACAGAACACAGUUUAUCAGUGAAGAGUAGCCUACACUGUACAGAACAAGGAAUCAAAGGGAGGAUCUCAAUUGCAUUUGUGACGCACGUGAAAUGUAUGGUCACGUUUGUUUUUUUAUUUGUGUUUUUAUUUUGUUUAAGAGGAAUAUUUAACGUUCUGAUUCAUUCUAGGUAUUACUUGAGGCCUCCCAAUGGUUUCCAAUUGAAAUGUACUUAUACCUAUUGUUGCCAGUAGAAGGAGAUAACGGUUCGUUUUGUCUUCACAUGUGGAACGGUUUUGAACGAACUGCUGGAACUUCCUCAUUCUUCUGAGAGAAGCCUAACUGGAAAGAAGCGAACGUUAUCCUGUCGCAACUUUGCUCCUGUUUUACAGGUCAUUUCACAGGUCCAAUGGCAGCCAUGGUGAAGUCUGAGCCGCUUGAGAGCAAUGUUUAUCCACAAACGGAACACUGUCACUCAUUCUCCUUCAGUUGCCCAACUCAUAACAUACUCAAAGAGGAAAUCACCUGCACCAAACCUGGAACAAUACUGAGAGCACUUGAAACUAUUGACACAUUCAAGGACCAAAUGGACAAGAAGACAAUGAAAGGGAAAGACAUUGUCAUCAAGAGUUGUAAGGGGUACAUAGUGAAGCACUUUCCAUGUUGGCUGAUCAAAGAGGAUGACCUUCUCACUAUUGAGACUAUCACACAUGCCACAGGUGAAACUGCAGGGGUCACGGAUGAAGAAACAGACAAUUAUGUAACUUUCUCUGUUGAGACAACAGGAGGGAAAAACAGCAAAUCAAAACCAAUA